GUGACACAUAGGUUAUGCAAACAAAUAAAAGGCACUGCUGUUGGUUGGAUAUCAAUCAUUUCAAACAUCACCAGUUUAAACAAACAGCAUUAUGAAGAACGAGAAGCUAUCAACAAAAGUUGGGAAUAAAGUUAUGGAGAAGCACCAAUCUAGGAUAGUUUUGUUUCUUUUUAAUAUCUUAAACUAUGAACAUCCCUAGUAAACCAUUAUUGUUAUUAUUUCAAACAGAAAGACUUUGGAGAAAAAACUAAAACAUUACAUUCUAUUUGGAGUUUGUCAAAUGAGUUUGGACAACACAACGAACAUGUGGAAAUGGUUCUAUACUUUAAUGAGGCCUAGAAUAAAAUUUUGGACCUUAUAACAAAACAAAACGUAUAGUGAGAAACUAAUACUGCUCGUUGCCCUGAGAUCACCAUUCCUUAAAUAAAGCAUUGGUAAGGUACUUCUGAUGUAGGGUGUGUUUUGUUGAAUAGGACUGGGAUAACUAGUCAAUAUUAAGAAAAAGAUGAAUUAAAAAAAAGGGUGCAAUCAUAGAGGAAAACCUAAUUCAGUCUGCAAGACACAACCUGUGGAAAGGCCUGAAAAUUGCUGUUUUCCGACAGUCCCAAACAAUAUGGCAGAGCUUGAGCAAUUUGUAAAGAAAUGUAUUUUUAGACAUUUGCAGGGUCACAAUGUUAAGCAUAAUGGGUGAGAACUUAUUCAAGUAGCAAAUGUCUAUUUUUUUAAAAUAAGUUUCGCAUCACAAUUAAAAAUAUAAAAUAUAUUUGGCACCUUCAUUUUGUUAAAUAUGGUGUGUAAAUCAAAAGAAUAUAUAUUAUAUUAUAUUUUUGCUCUCUGUGACUUUAGCAUAUUUGAAAACCAAUUUAACCUCAUGAAAUACACCACAAAUAGUUCCAAAUAAUGCAACUUAACUCACGCUUAACAUUGUUCAGUAUUGUCUGCUAACCUUUGGCAUUCUAAGUUUUGUGGUGAUCACUGCAUGUAUUUUCACCAUUGUGGAAGAGUCAAAUUAGCUAUCACCAAAUUAUAUGUAGGAGAGAGAUGCACAAUACAGCUUUCACCAAAUUCUUUGCCAAAUUUUUCUUACUUUUAUUUUUUACUCUGCAUCUUGUAGCAAUUUUUAACUCUGCCACUAAAACAGACCAAAAAGACAAUAAAAUAGCUACAAAAUCAAUUUAAAAAAAAUAUUUU